GUAACCUGGGGAUCCCUGGCCACCCGCUGACAGCCCAAGGUGCGGCUGACACCUGCGAGGGCUGGGGGCUGGGACUCGGAAGCUGCGAUGACCCGGUGCCCACCAGGCCUCUCCCCGGCUGGGGCGACUUCUCUUCCGGCAGGUGAGCCUGAGGGACUGCCGCAACGUGUCUGUGUUCCUGGCCCCUAGCGUGCUCCCGCUGCUGGAGGACAAGCUGCGGACAGAGCUGCCUGCCGGGGCCCGCGUGGUGUCUGGGCGCUUCCCACUCCCCACCUGGCAGCCUGUGGCCGUGGUUGGCGAGGGCCUGGACCGAGUAUGGGCUUAUGAUGUUCCUGAGGGUGGGCAGGCUGGGGAGGCCUUCUCCUUGCGGAUACCCAUCCAGGCUGCCCCCGGACCUAGUUCUGCCCCCAUCCCGGGGGGCCUUGUUUCUCAGGCCAGCUGAGUAUUAGACACGAUAAAGACUCUGUGGGUUCUA
rnacentral:sRNA from 1 species